rnacentral:rRNA from 1 species
GCAUCGAGAWUCAACAUGGAACGAGUGGCGGACGRGUGAGUAACACGUGGGUAACCUGCCCUUAAGUGGGGGAUAACAUUUGGAAWCAGAUGCUAAUACCGCAUAGAUCCAAGAACCGCAUGGUUCUUGGCUGAAAGAUGGCGUAAGCUAUCGCUUUUGGAUGGACCCGCGGCGUAUUAGCUAGUUGGUGAGGUAAUGGCUCACCAAGGCGAUGAUACGUAGCCGAACUGAGAGGUUGAUCGGCCACAUUGGGACUGAGACACGGCCCAAACUCCUACGGGAGGCAGCAGUAGGGAAUCUUCCACAAUGGACGCAAGUCUGAUGGAGCAACGCCGCGUGAGUGAAGAAGGCUUUCGGGUCGUAAAACUCUGUUGUUGGAGAAGAAUGGUCGGCAGAGUAACUGUUGYCGGCGUGACGGUAUCCAACCAGAAAGCCACGGCUAACUACGUGCCAGCAGCCGCGGUAAUACGUAGGUGGCAAGCGUUAUCCGGAUUUAUUGGGCGUAAAGCGAGCGCAGGCGGUUUUUUAAGUCUGAUGUGAAAGCCCUCGGCUUAACCGAGGAAGCGCAUCGGAAACUGGGAAACUUGAGUGCAGAAGAGGACAGUGGAACUCCAUGUGUAGCGGUGAAAUGCGUAGAUAUAUGGAAGAACACCAGUGGCGAAGGCGGCUGUCUGGUCUGUAACKACGCKAGGYCGAAAGCUGKKGCUC